UCACAACCGAAACAGAAAAUCGGUCCGUCUCACUCACACUCACUCGCGAUUUUUGGAACACCGAUUUUUUGCAUACAUUUCAGUCAGUGCUGGGCGUGUCGCUCGGCAACACCGUGUCGGGUUCGGUGGUCCUGAUCGUGACGACCUUACCGGUACUGAUAACUGGGAUGCUGAUCUCUUCUUCUGGAAGAAAUCGUCGGAUCCGAGCAGGAAGGUGAAACCGGUAAUACUCAAAGGAUGUUAUAGCGUUUUCUUCUAGCACCUUCUACACCAACCUCAAGUUUUGCACCAAAUCCAACAACAGCAACAGCAACUUGAACUGAAGGGAACUCAUAUUGAGAAGCAAUGAAAUAGCAACAGUUAGUGCUAUCUUCAAUUUCAAUUUCAGGGAGUGUAAGUGGAGGUUGGAGUGUUCCAGCACCAAAAGCAUCUCUUGAGGCUUGGCAACGAUUUUUAUGAUGUUCUUAAAGGAAAAUAAGAAUGUUGCUGCUUUGACAACUAAAGCUAAGUAUCGAAAUGUUACAACUUUGCUUAGCCAUGAUUGCAUUGUUCAAAGGAGGCACCAAAAGACUGCUUUUGAAGAGAAAUCUGCUCUGGCUAAGCAUGAGGCUGAACUUUCAAUGUUAAAAAAAAAAGAAGAAAGCUCACUUGAAGAUGUUGAAUAGCUAAAAGGUCAAAAGCAAUUUUUUUUCCAGUUGGGAUUGUACAUGGUUCCUUUGAAAGAAGAUGUUAUCUUGGUAGUAACAUAUACAUAUUACAAAAUCACAAUCUAUGCCCCAAAAUUUCAAAGUUGGCCAUGAUUUUACACACAUACAAAUACGAAUAAUAUUUUUCUUAUAAUGACUUGGAUGACUUGAUAGCAAGCACCAUCUCCUUAGGCUUCUAUUUUAGUUUCUUAUUCAGGGAUAAGCAUUCGGUACGUAUUCAUGUGUAUUUCUAUUUGUCAAUUGUUUAUUAUGCAGUAUUGGAUACGUGUCUUAGUUGUUGAGAGUUUGAAGAGUGUUUAAGCCUAUGGUGUAAAUUAAUUGCUUGCUAUAUAUGUGUAUAUAAUAAUGUUAUAGGUGCUAUGUUGAACAUAUUAGUAAAAUAAGAAUAUUAUAAAGUAUAGUUAGAG